AUUUUAUAUAUUUCCAAUUGUCACAUUCAAUUAUGACACCACUGGGUGGAAGAGGAUGAUGUUACCAAAUUGUAACAUCCCCAGGGGAUGGAUUGUGACAUCAUGACCCUCACUCCUUAUUCAGGCACUACCAGAGACUGGUUCAACCCUGAAAUCCUGCCAAGCACAUCUGCAAGUGGAAGCAGCCCCUGGUCCUUAGCUCUCUCCAACCUUCUGCAACACACCAAAAUGGACAGGGGGACAAACCUGGAAGGGAUGCCAGAGGCCAGCAGCCAGGCAGGGACAGCUGCCCGUGCCCUGGCUGAAAACAACUCCCAUUGCCCUGUGGCUGUGGGUAGCCUCCUUCCCGAGGUCUGGGCAGGACUUUUCCGUCAACAACAGCAUCUCCUGGACCCUGUGCUGCCCUGGCUGCACCAGAGGCUGGUGGGAAUAUACUGGGACAAGUGGUGGCUGGUAGAGUGUGCAGAGAGCAGCAUCCUGAGUGGCCUCUGCAUGCAUGGUCCAGUUGCAGAGGUCUUGGUCCAGAGGCUGCAGCAUUUCCUCCAUGAGCACACAGGACCACUGGUCCACAGUGUCAUCAGCAUCAUAGAGAGCUGGUGCAGUGAGAGAGCCAUGGGGCUGCUGCACUCCCACACUGCCAGGGAUGAGGAUGACAACUCCGAAGCCACCUCCAUCUCCAGCUUCAGCAGCUCCAGCUGUAGAUGGGGUCCUAGCCACCUCCAAUCUGUGCCCAUCCCUGCAGAGCAGGUCCAGCCCCAGGAAGAGCCAGGGCAGGAAGUUGCCAUAGGUCCCUUUGUCCCAGGCAGGAGCUGCGGCCCCUUCGCUCCCAGCCAGGGUAGGAGCCACCUGCCUGGGAAGCCCAGCCGCCCCCCAAAGAGGAGGGACUCUGGGCACCCAGACACUUCCCAGCCCAGCAAGAAGCCUUGCCACCAGCAGCACAAACAGGUCUGGAGCAAAUCUUCUCAAAAAAAGAAAUAAAUGGCUCUUUCCCUGACACUGUCUCUGGACAU
rnacentral:lncRNA from 1 species